rnacentral:rRNA from 1 species
AUCGCAUGGUCUUUGUACCGGCGACGCAUCUUUCAAAUGUCUGCCUUAUCAACUUUCGAUGGUAGUUUAUGUGCCUACCAUGGUUAUUACGGGUAACGGAGAAUAAGGGUUCGACUCCGGAGAGGGAGCCUGAGAAACUGGCUACCACAUCCAAGGAAGGCAGCAGGCGCGCAAAUUACCCAAGGUCGGCACGAGGAGGUAGUGACGAAAAAUAACCCUUUUAGUGUGUAAGAGGCCCGGCAUGUGAAUG